CCCUAUGGGGUGCACCAGGACAUGUCCCUUUUUAUCGCAAUAACUACAGCCUUCACCAUCGCAGUGGGCGCAGGUCCGCUCUGCCCAGUCUCCUUCUUUCUCGCCCAUGUCAGAAUUCUCUCCGCUCGCGUGGAUUAUUUUCACUUAUUCCCAAAAAAGGUGAUGUGUUCAUGUUCCGGCCCUUUAAACCCCUGGUUCAGGACCCCGCCUGACAGCAUUAACCAUAAAAAGAGCCACAUUUCCUGCUGUUCCUGGAGAUAGCGAACCGCCCCUGAAGGUAAUCUGCCGGGAGAUCAGUUAUUUUGUAAUUUUUUGGAAUGGUGGGCGGUAUUGGCGUGCUGACAGUGGGAUCACAUCCCGGGUACAAUUGGCGGGAGGGC
rnacentral:rRNA from 1 species